rnacentral:rRNA from 1 species
UACGUAGGGUGCGAGCGUUGUCCGGAAUUACUGGGCGUAAAGAGCUCGUAGGUGGUUUGUCGCGUUGUCCGUGAAAACUCACAACUCAAUUGUGGGCGUGCGGGCGAUACGGGCAGACUGGAGUACUGCAGGGGAGACUGGAAUUCCUGGUGUAGCGGUGGAAAUGCGCAGAGUAUCAGGAGGAACACCGGUGGCGAAGGCGGGUCUCUGGGCAGUAACUGACGCUGAGGAGCGAAAGCGUGGGGAGCGAACAGG